UAAGCAAGGUGUGAAAGCGUGUGGCUCAACCAUACAGACAUACUUUGAACUGCAUAGCUAGAGUGUAGGAGAGGUACCUGGAAUUUCUAGUGUAGGAGUGAAAUCCGUAGAUAUUAGAAGGAACACCGAUGGCGUAGGCAGGGUACUGGCCUAUCACUGACACUAAGGCACGAAAGCGUGGGGAGCGAACGGGAUUAGAUACCCCGGUAGUCCACGCCGUAAACGAUGGAUGCUA
rnacentral:rRNA from 1 species